rnacentral:rRNA from 1 species
GAUGAACGCUGGCGGCGUGCCUAAUACAUGCAAGUCGAGCGAACAGACGAGGAGCUUGCUCCUCUGACGUUAGCGGCGGACGGGUGAGUAACACGUGGAUAACCUACCUAUAAGACUGGGAUAACUUCGGGAAACCGGAGCUAAUACCGGAUAAUAUAUUGAACCGCAUGGUUCAAUAGUGAAAGACGGUUUUGCUGUCACUUAUAGAUGGAUCCGCGCCGCAUUAGCUAGUUGGUAAGGUAACGGCUUACCAAGGCAACGAUGCGUAGCCGACCUGAGAGGGUGAUGGGCGACACUGGAACUGAGCCGCGAUCCUGGCUCCUACGGACGGCAGCGGUAGGGAAGCGUGGGCAAUGGGGGGAAGCCUGCAGAAGCGGCGCCGGGUGGAUGAUGAAGGUCUGCGGGCCGGAAAACUGUGUUAUUGGGGAAAAACAAAUUUGUAAGUAACGAUGCUCUUCGUGACGGUACCUACACAAAAAGCAACGGCUAACUACGUG